CGGUGACCGACGCUUGGUCUCUGCGCGCGGGCGCCCCCUGGCGCGGGCUCCGGAGGUGGCCGAGAGCGGGACCCAGCGGAGGCUGAGCCCAGCGCCAAGGGCGACCAGUCCCCGCCGCCGCCGCUCCGCGGGAGAACCGUCUCGCUUAGUCCGCGCGCAAGCCCCAGUCCCUGGGAACAGACAAGGGGCCCCCGCAGCGCCUCACAAUCCCGACCAGGUCCAGCGGCGGCUGACUCGGCAGCGGAGGGCGCUGUUCCGCCGGGAUGGGCCCAUCAGCGGGAGGCGACGCCUCCCACCAGCAGGGGCAGGAGGAGCAGCGGGAGGGGCGCCGGCCGCCGUCCUGAGGCCUGGUUGAGCUCGCACUGACAAUCGCAGCCUCUGGACUCCGGGGCCCAGUAACCCGCAGGUCCCCGCGCUCCCCACCUGUGUUGCUGACGGUGACAUCGUCGGGGGAAGGGGGCGCGCCCUCCCAGAGGCUGAGGUCACGAGGGUAGCCGGGGUCCGGGCGCGCCGCCGCCUCGUCGUAGCGCCAGUACUGCCGGCCACGGACCAGGUCUUCCUCCAUCUCCUUGGAAACACGGAGCUCCUUCAGCAGGCACUCUCAGCCCACAGCCUGCUGGCUCCAGCACCCGGCCUCACUCCCAGCCUCUUCCCACCGCAGCAGCCUCUUCCCUCGGGACUCAGCCCAGGCGCCAGGACCCUUUGCAAGCCCAGCUCAUUGAUCCGUGAGCUGCCUGCCAGCUCCUGCUCCCGCUGCUGAGAGGCCAAAAGAGACCAAGACAGAGUCACAGCGUGGCAAGCACUGCAGGGAGGCACCGAUGACUCCAUGCCGAUCUGUUUCACAACCAGCUCUAAGGUCAGCAGUGUUCCGGCAGAUUCAUAGGUAACGACUUGGUGAACUGAAAAGCAAAUUUCUCUCGGUCCAUAAAGCCACUCGCUAAGUGUCUAAGCAUGAAACGUGAGUCCUGAGAGGAGUCGCAAACACGUUUUCAUUCACUUCUCACCAAACCUGUCUCCUAGGCCCAUUUUACAAAGGAGGAAACUGAGGGAUAGAGACUUCAAGGUAGU